GCAGAACACCUUCAGAGUCAUCCACCAAUACCAAAACUCAACCGGAGCCGGCGGUAUCUCCUCCCCCCUCUUUCCAAGUUCUCCUGUGGUUCCAGAGCGACGGCCAUCUUUCACGCCAACAGAAAACGCAAGUACGGAUAGCGACUAUGACAACGACGAAGGGGACUACGUCAACCAGCCGGUGUUUGACAUCCAGCAUUCAAUCUGAUUGGACGAAGCCUAUUGACACAGAAGAGGGUCACAUAUUCUAUUUGAUGAAUAUGUGAGAGUCUCGUGUCUCUGCUGGGGAAGAGAUAAAUGACAAUAUGGAUGUCUGCAGUUGUUUUUAGAGUUGGUGUGGAAAGAUACAGGCUCUGUCUAAAUGCUGGAUCAGUCUGCUGUUCAUAAGGAAUGGAAAUACAUUUAGUGCCCCCCCCCACACACACACACACACACACACACACACACAGUAAAGCGCUUUGGGUAUCUUGAAUAGCGCUAUAAAACUGCAAUUAAUAUUUGUUCACCUUGUGCUAAGACAGCAUUUACCCAUUCAUGUCCAAAUCCAACCCUAGCGGUUCAACAGAUGCAAUUGCAUGCGUCACUCUGCUAUGAUUGGCUGUUGGGAAGUGACUCUGCUGUGAUUGGUCGAUUUGUUAAUGCUUUAUUGUGGACCUGCUGACUCUCCUGAGAAUGUUUAGAGUUGAACCUGUUGUAUUUAUAUGUUGUGAGCACUGUAGAUCCCUAGCUGCAAGGCCUUCUUUCCUGACAAUUAAACUCCCCAAACCAUCUCGUCUCGCUGUUUGUGUUCGCUUGGACUUAAACCAGACGUCUUCGUACGGGGAAUCAAACACUUGGGGGGAAACGAC
ensembl:lncRNA